rnacentral:rRNA from 1 species
CAAUAGCGUAUAUUAAAGUUGUUGCGGUAAAAAAGCUCGUAGUUGGAUUUCUACCGAAGAUAGCCGGUCGGGUCUUCGACCUUGUAUCUGGUUUUGUCUUUGGUAUCCUCAUAGGGAACGUUUCUGCGCUUUAUUGCGUGGUGCGGUAUCUAUGACUUUUACUUUGAGGAAAUUAGAGUGUUCACGGCAGGCAAACGCCUUGAAUAUAUUAGCAUGGAAUAAUAACAUAGGAUCUUCGUCCUAUUUUGUUGGUUUCUAGGGCUAAGAUAAUGAUUAAUAGGGAUAAUUUGGGGCAUCUGUAUCAACGCGUCAGAGGUGGAAUUCUUGGAUUGCGUUGCGACAAACUACUGCGAAAGCAUUUGCCAAGGAUGUUUUCAUUGA